rnacentral:rRNA from 1 species
CCUACGGGAGGCUGCAGUAGGGAAUCUUGCUCACUGGGGGAAACCCUGAAGCAGCAACGCCGCGUGGAGGAUGAAGGUUUUCGGAUUGUAAAAUCCUUUUGUUAGAGAAGAUAAUGACGGUAUCUAACGAAUAAGCCCCGGCUAACUACGUGCCAGCAGCCGAGGUAAUACGGAGGGUGCACGCGUUACUCGGAAUCACUGGGCGUAAAGAGAGCGUCGGCGGGAUAGCAAGUCAGAUGUGAAAUCCUAUGGCUUAACCAGAGAACUGCAUUUGAAACUGUUAUUCUAGAGUAUGGGAGAGGUAGGUGGAAUUCUUGGUGUAGGGGUAAAAUCCGUAGAGAUCAAGAGGAAUACUCAUUGCGAAGGCGACCUGCUAGAACAUAACUGACGCUGAUGCGCGAAAGCGUGGGUAGCAAACAGGAUUAGAUACCCCUGUAGUC